rnacentral:rRNA from 1 species
ACCCGCUGAAUUUAAGCAUAUAAGUAGGCGGUGGAAAAUAAACCAAAUGGGAUUCCUUAAGUAAUGGCGAAUGAACAAGGAACUGCUCAACUUGAAAAUCGGGGCUUCUGGCCUUGAAUUGUAAUUUUGAAAUGUAUUGCCAAUGGAGGCGCAGGUGCAAGCCAAUUGAAAGAAAGCGUCAAAGAAGGUGAAAAUCCUUUUUGCCAUUUGCAGCCCUCCGUGCACGGUAUAUAUUUGACGAGUCACACUCCUCGGCAUUGGAAUGCAAAGUGGGUGGUAAAUUUCAUGUAAAGAUUAAUAUAUUAUUGAGACUGAUAGCGAACAAGUACCAUGAGGGAAAUAUGAAAAGGACUUUGAAAAGAGAAUUAAAAGAGUCUGCACUUGCUGAACAGAAAGCAAACAGAAGUGAUUAUGCUUGGUAAGAUUGUUGCGUCUUGUUGUUCUGCAACUUGGGCGCAGUGGUUCUCACCUUGUCUGCCAGCAUCUUUUCUGCAAAUCAGAACCCUGGCACAUGACUGGUAAUUCGCCUGCGGGUGUUGGAAUGCAUGUGUUUGCUAUGAUUUGUGAUUAGAUUUGUGCGUGUGGUGCUUCGGUGUGUGGCUCUUUGUUGGGGAGGAAUUCUCCUCCGCCCUGCUGAAUCCCUUGCGCUACAUCGCUGGCAAAAUGUUUCUGCUUGACCCGUCUUGAAACACGGACCAAGGAGUCUAACAGAUGUGCGAGUUCAUGGGUGUCCAAACCCUUAGCGCAAUGAAAGUAUUGGCUGGGAUAUUUGCACCAGCAGCCGACCGAUUAGCAGACAGAGGUUUGAGUUUGAGCACAUCUAUUAGGACCCGAAAGAUGGUGAACUAUGCCUGAACAGAACAAAUUCAGAGGAAACUCUGAUGGAGGUUCGUAUCGAUACUGACGUGCAAAUCGUUCGUCAUACUUGGGUAUAGGGGCGAAAGACUAAUCGAACCAUCUAGUAGCUGGUUCCCUCCGAAGUUUCCCUCAGGAUAGCUGGAGUUGCACAGUUUUAUCAGGUAAAGCGAAUGAUUAGAGGAAUUGGGGACACGCUGUCCUUGACCUAUUCUCAAACUUUAAAUGGGUAAGAUGCAAUGGUUGCUUUAUUGGACUUUUGUUGGAAAUGGCAAUAUCAGGUGGGCCAUUUUUGGUAAGCAGAACCGGCGAUGAGGGAUGAACCUAACGUUGGGUUAAGGUGCUUAACUGCUCGCUCAUUAGAUACCAGAAAGGGUGUUGGUUCAUUUUAACAGCAGGACGGUGGUCAUGGAAGUCGAAAUCCGCUAAGGAGUGUGUAACAACUCACCUGCCGAAUGGACUAGCCCCGAAAAUGGAUGGCGCUCAAGCGGGUGACCGAUACCCAACCACUGUUGCAAAGAAAUCAGUGUGUAGGAGGGCAUGGUGGUUUGUGAUGCAGCCUUUGGUGAGAACCUGGGUGAAACAACCUCUAGUGCAGAUCUUGGUGGUAGUAGC